GAAGUAAUGCUACAGUGUUUUGAUGUCCCAGAUAAUUGAUCAGAAGAUCCUUUUCAGCAAUGACUCAACUGCAGAUUUUUGUGGAGUGCUAACAUUCCCUGAUACUAUUUAUUCAAGAAUUGCAUUCAAUUCAGAGUAACAAUAUGAGGUCCUUUCGCCUUUUACAUCAUUGAAACUCAUGCGUUAUCUCAGAAUAAACUAAAGAGAAACUCAAAUAAAUCAUGAAAACCUAGUCCUGUUAAAUAACAACAUUGCACGUUGACUGCUUAUGAGAUUGGGAGUCGAGUCGGAGUGGUGCCUGC